ACUGGCUUCGGCGGGACAUAUACCAAAAUUGGGAGAGAAAGAAAAGAGAAGAUCAGCAUGGUCCCCUGCGCAAGGAUGACACGCAAAAUCGUGCAGAAUUAAAAAAAAAA